rnacentral:rRNA from 1 species
GACGAACGCUGGCGGCGUGCUUAACACAUGCAAGUCGAACGGUAAGGCCCUUCGGGGUACACGAGUGGCGAACGGGUGAGUAACACGUGGGUGAUCUGCCCUGCACUUCGGGAUAAGCCUGGGAAACUGGGUCUAAUACCGGAUAGGACCACUGCCUGCAUGGGUGGUGGUGGAAAGCUUUUGUGGUGUGGGAUGGGCCCGCGGCCUAUCAGCUCGUUGGUGGGGUGAUGGCCUACCAAGGCGACGACGGGUAGCCGGCCUGAGAGGGUGACCGGCCACACUGGGACUGAGAUACGGCCCAGACUCCUACGGGAGGCAGCAGUGGGGAAUAUUGCACAAUGGGCGCAAGCCUGAUGCAGCGACGCCGCGUGAGGGAUGACGGCCUUCGGGUUGUAAACCUCUUUCAGCACCGACGAAGCGCAAGUGACGGUAGGUGCAGAAGAAGGACCGGCUAACUACGUGCCAGCAGCCGCCGUAA